rnacentral:rRNA from 1 species
CUACGGAGGGUGCAAACGUUGUUCGGAAUUACUGGGCGUAAAGCGCGCGUAGGCGGUUUGUUAAGUCAGAUGUGAAAGCCCAAGGCUCAACCUUGGACGUGCAUUUGAAACUGGCAGACUUGAGUACUGGAGGGGAUGGUGGAAUUCCCGGUGUAGAGGUGAAAUUCGUAGAUAUCGGGAGGAAUACCGGUGGCGAAGGCGACCAUCUGGCCAGAUACUGACGCUGAGGUGCGAAAGCAUGGGGAGCAAACAGGAUUAGAAACCCUAGUAGUCC